rfam:Streptomyces variegatus strain NRRL B-16380 contig-0, whole genome shotgun sequence.
GCGCCGCUAGCUCAGUUGGUUAGAGCAGCUGACUCUUAAUCAGCGGGUCCGGGGUUCGAGUCCCUGGCGGCGCA